GCUGGGCAAGGUGGCGCAUGCCUGUAAUCCCAUGAGCUCAGGAGGCUGAGGCAGGAGGAUUGUGAGUUCAAAGCCAGACUCAGCAAAAGCAAGGUGCUAAGCAACUCAGUGAGACCCUGUCUCUA
rnacentral:sRNA from 1 species